AAUAUCCUGAAUAGUAUUAGUUAAGUUCUUUUAAGCUCAACAUAUAUGGCGGUAAAAUAUCUAUUCAGAGGAACCUGUAAAUUAAUUGACAAACCACGAUAGUUUCAACUUUAUAUUUAUUUGUAUAUCUCUAUAUUUUGGAGUGUUUUGUAAAAAUAUUUUCUUUAGCUUAGGUUUAUAUUAGGUCAAGGUGCAGUUUUUAGAAGAUUUUGAUGGGUUACAUAAUUAUAAAUUUAUUUAGAAUCAAUUUCUUAUAAUGGUUCUGAAUUAGGAUUUAAUAGUAAAUUACAUUAAUUAAUGUAAGUGGAGUUAUGCCCUAUUUUAUGUACA
rnacentral:rRNA from 1 species